rnacentral:lncRNA from 1 species
AUGGACGACGUUGAUUUUAUUUUGUUUAGUGUUUACUUAUCAAUUAUAAUCUUAAUGGUAACACGAAAAAUGUGUUACUCCAACUAUUUCGACUCAAAGGUGAUAGUACUGCAUCGAGGAAAUGAAGGAACUUUGAGGGAUUGCAGUGAUCUUCAACGAAGCAGUCAAAUUUAGAGUGCUCGCGGAGGGAGAGUUUGUCCAUUUGUGUGUCCCUUUUUUAUUGAUCGUAGGAAAUAGGCUAUUAUGGUGUUGGCGGCCGUGAGUAAUUAUUGUAAAUUUGAAACUUUUACUGAAUUGUAUCGGCAGCUAAAGAAAAUUUAGUGAAAAAGCUUAAUUUACUUGAAGCAUGAAAAGCUAUUUUUAGUAUUUAUUCCCACCGUAAUAAGGAAGAACGUCGCGUCGUCUAAAUUUCCAAAAUUCGUCUUCCCUCCGAUAAAAUAUUAAUUUUUGAGAGGAGUUAUGCAUAUUCUUUCUCAAAAUUUUCAGUUUUUUUUUUUUUUUUGAAGGAAUUUUAUUUAAAUAUAACGUAACUACUACAAGUAUUUUCUUGUAUCUAUCUACGUGGCUUAAAACUACAACUGAACAAGUUGCAUUAAUUUUACAUUUUUUUUUUCAGAUAUUGUGGAUUAAAUUGCGAAUGAAGUUCCGUGAAAAAUCGGGAUGAAAAUAUCCACAUGUUUUUCAGUAAAUUAAUAUUUUAUCUAUGAAAAUUUAGCAAAGCCUCUAUGCUCAUACGGCGUUUUUCCUUUACAGCAGAAAGCUGCCAUAAUGCAUGAUACGCAACUUCUGAAAAUCCCAUUACAAUCCAUACGACCCGUAAGAGGGACCAGUAGCGAGGGUCUAAAAUUAUUUUCUCUCCAUUAUUAUCAACACCUCUGACCUAAAAUUACACCAUAAAUUAUAGUUCCGAGAUGAAUUCGCACAACUCCGAUAAAGAUUACAUGAACUUUUUGUGUCUUUCCUUAGUGUGUCCGCGCAGCACUCCCUCCUUUAGAGGACCAAUCCUAAAACAAUAAACCCGACGCUUGCAUCUGAAAUCUGUAAUCCUGCGUCCUUGAAUUUAAAUGAAUUAUUGCUGAAAUAAUGGACUCGUCUUUUGCCAUGCUGAAAUCAUAGCCCCUUCUACAUUAACGCACAAAACCAACUGAAAGGAUUCGAUCUGCCGGCAUUUAUCCACCCACACAAUUUAACUGGGAUCGUCCUCAAUUCAAAGUAGCGAAUAAAAACGUAUUUUGAUUGAUAAAACCACUAUAAAACCCAUACGCAUAUCACUGUAGCUUCCGCGUACACAGGGAUCGCACUAUGUCAAUGGGUGAACUUUCAAUUUUUAUUGCUUCGACUGCAACUGUGGGAUGAUUUACAUACCCCAGAGAAUGCAGUAUAUUCUCCUCAUUAACGUUGUGCAACUGAAGUCCUGAAGUUGUCAUAUCUUUUUCUAUAACAUGAACUCAUGAGAGCAACGCGUGAGGCAUUCCGCCUGAAGCGCGAAGCAGUUCGGGGGGGGGGGGGGACCACGAAGUGGUUGGUGAACGUAGCCCUCUAAUCUAUAAAAAUCGAUCACACAGGAAUGAACAUUCUCCAGCAUCAAUUUUCCUCAUACAUCUAAUCUAUUUUUGCGUAAUUUUACGUAGAUGACAAAUCAGUUUUUCUCAGUAACCCAAGUAGCAGUAAUCGCGAUAAAUAGCGAUUUUAUCGGUUGGUUAUCGCGAUUAUACCGGCGGCAAUAUAUCGAGAUAUUAUCGUAUUAAAAAUCGCGAUAUAUGGCUAUUAAACCGCUACGCAUCGCAAUUUUGGUUCGAUAAAAUCGUGAUCAAUUUUCGCCGAUAAAAUCGCAAUAUGUAGGGAUUUUUCCGUUGAGAAAUGCUACUUGGGAAGUGUGUGUUAAUUUUAUUUUUAGUUGAUUCACUACCGAGGAAUAAACACCGAUGCCUUCUUUCAUUAUGCCUCCGCCUCCUUGAUGCUAAGCAUUAGAAAGCCGACUUCUCCUUAAAAUGUCCUUUUCUAAUUCGAGCAUCAGAGGCUUUUCGUUUAUCAAUUCUCUUAAUGCACUAAACAUCGUGAGUGACUAUUUACUGAGGAUCAUUCCUCGUAGAUUUCAAAAUAAAAAAUAGGGAAUUUAAAGUGAGUUACGGCAACAUUUCUGUACGCUCGUAAAAAUUUACGCAUCGUACUGCGGUUUCGUUCGCAAUUCAUUCACACAUCCACUGCACUCCUCCCAUUGUCAUUCUAAACGUUUCUUAUUCAUCGGCAAUGAAGCUUCUUGUCCAUCUGUUUGAAGUGAUUUGAAGGGUGAACUUCCUAACGGCGUCAUGAGAUUUAGUUGUCGGCAACACUGUUUUUCUUCCAUUUAAAUAAGUGAAAACAAUCGAUUCUAGUGGAGUAAGCUUACCUAACCAAGAAUCGAUUAGAAAUUCGAAUUAGGUGGCGCUGAGAUCACGUUUUAGGCCACAUCUACCACCGUGGAUUUUCAAUUUUUGAAAAUUGAACCAAAAUUUUGAGUUUUUCAUAAAAUAAUACCUUUGAAUGAUACGAUUUACUGCAAUCGAUUGAAUAGGCGCUGCGAUGCCACCUUUUUUCAACACGUAGUUCCUUUUAACUUGUCUCGACAUCUUCUUUGAUGCAUUAAAGCAAAAAUAACUGAAUAUGAAUCCAUUUGAUUCAAUAAGUUUCCGUCGAUUCUCUACUUGCAAGACGCUAUGAUUUUG